ensembl:lncRNA novel transcript, antisense to KLRD1
GCCACUGUCACCCCAGCCUUCAACAACCACCACCCUGAUCAGUCAGCAGCCAUCAAUGAGGCAAGAUCCACCAGAAACAGAAACAGACUAGGACUCUCUGAAAGCUCAGCUGAUUGUUAACAUUUUCUGGCAAUAUUUUUAAUCAAGGUCCUGGAAAUGGCUAGAAUCUGUCCUGAACUCUUGGCAUCUUCUGAUACUCAACGAUGGAGCACGGCGUGAACAUCAUCCUGCUGCCCUACACAAUAUUGUCUAGACUAUGGGUAGCUAAAAAAUCUAUUUGCAAUUAAUAAUAAAGAAAUAAAAACAAAGUUCUGAUUAAGUAUUCUGCUGUAUAUUUUCCUAGAAUAUUGGCUACUUAAAUGUUUUCCAUAUAAUUAUUAAAUAAAUAUUUAUUCUGAAGCGGUCCAUCUCUA